CGAUUGUUUCACUCCUCGUAGCAUUUGGAACAAUCCCAGUGGCACUGGUCAUAUUUUUUCUGUGCAAAAGAUACUGCAGUUUGAAAAAAAUGUUUUCUCCAGUUCCGCAACCAAAAAACAAAUUUCAUGAACUUUUCCAAAUAUCUGAUAAAAAUAUACAGAGGGAAUGGAUGGAUCUACCACCCACAAAAUAUGAAACAGAAGAAAUAACUACUGUUGAAGAAAUUAAAUAACUUCUAAAAGCAAAAUGAAGCACUUGGAUUCCCCAACUCAAACAACUACAAAUCCUCAUGGCAAUUUUGUAUGUUUGCACACUCGCUCCCUUUCUCUCCCCUACAAAUGUUGCCUAACACUUACAUUAUAAGGCCCUUUUUUCAGUUUCUUAUAACUUUGUCAAAUUUGAAUCAUUUGGACAGAAGCUUUUCCAUGCUGCGUGUCUGCUUGAGGGUGAAUAUUCUUGGAGUGUUUUAAAAAAAACCAUCUCAGUAAUUUGUUAGAACAACUUUAGGGGAAAAAAAUGUUAUUUUGCCCGUAUUAAAAGACCUCUUACAACCUUUUCAUUGACAAUCUCUAGUACCUCCCUGCUUUGAAACCUGUGGAAAUUCAGCAGGGGUGUUGCUGUGGUGACAAGAAUGUGCUUUAUUCAUCCUUAAGAAUAUCAACCAAAUUUGGCCAAGUUAUUAACCGUUGAAAAAUCAUGGUUCACACAUGCUAAGUAUAGACUUGUUAAAGAGUUUGGCAGCCAAACUUCUUUAGGUCCUCACAUCAGACUAUUUCUAAAUCUCGGUGAUUCUUUCUGCAUAACAUCUCUAAGAUACAUCUUUUUCUAUCCAUCCUCACAGCUAAAAUUCUAAUGCAGGCCCUCAUGAUCUUACGACUGGAUUAUUAUUUUUCUCUGGCAUUAAGAAAUGCAACUUUACCCACUUUUAUCCAUUCAGAAUGCUGCUGCAAAGAUCAUUUACUUAGAUCCUACCCCAUUUAUACUGCUGUUCACUCUUUUAGUUGUCCAAUCGCUGCUAACCUUUCUGGUGAAAACUGAAACAAAAAAGGCAUUUAAUACAUGGGCCAUUG